rnacentral:rRNA from 1 species
GAGCGGCGGACGGCUGAGUAACGCGUGGGAACGUACCCCAAAGUGAGGAAUAACUGCCCGAAAGGGUGGCUAAUGCCGCAUAUGAUCUUCGGAUUAAAGGAUUUAUCCGCUUUGGGAACGGCCUGCGUAUGAUUAGAUAGUUGGUGAGGUAAAGGCUCACCAAGUCUACGAUCAUUAAUUGGUCUGAGAGGAUGACCAGUCAGACUGGAACUGAGACACGGUCCAGACUCCUACGGGAGGCAGCAGUGAGGAAUCUUCCACAAUGGGCGAAAGCCUGAUGGAGCGACGCCGCGUGCAGGAUGAAGGCCUUCGGGUUGUAAAC